rnacentral:rRNA from 1 species
AGUCGAACGGGCCGCGCCUGAACCUAGUGAAGGCGCGGCCAGUGGCGCAUGGGUGGGUAACGCGUGGGCAACCUGCCGCGCACAGGGGGACAACGGCCGGAAACGGCCGCUAAUACCGCAUAUUCCCGGGGGGCCGCAUGGCCCUGCGGGGAAAGCCCGGGGCGACCCGGACGGUGCGCGAUGGGCCCGCGUCCGAUUAGCUAGUUGGCGGGGCAGCGGCCCACCAAGGCGACGAUCGGUAGCCGGCCUGAGAGGGCGGACGGCCACACUGGGACUGAGACACGGCCCAGACUCCUGCGGGAGGCAGCAGUGGGGAAUAUUGCACAAUGGGGGGAACCCUGAUGCAGCGACGCCGCGUGGGUGAAGGAGCACCUCGGUGCGUAAAGCCCUAUCGGCAGGGAAGAAACAGACGGUACCUGACUAAGAAGCCCCGGCUAACUACGUGCCAGCAGCCGCGGUAAUACGUAGGGGGCAAGCGUUAUCCGGAUUCAUUGGGUUUAAAGGGUGCGCAGGCGGGCCUUUAAGCCGGCGGUGAAAUCGCGGGGCUCAACCCCGCCGAGCCGUCGGAACUGGGGGCCUUGAGUGCGGCGGAGGCAUGCGGAAUGCGCGGUGUAGCGGUGAAAUGCAUAGAUAUCGCGCAGAACCCCGAUUGCGAAGGCAGCGUGCCGUGCCGCCACUGACGCUGAGGCACGAAAGCGCGGGGAUCGAACAGGAUUAGAUACCCUGGUAGUCCGCGCCGUAAACGAUGGAUGCUGGGUGUCCGGGG